CCUACGGGGGGCUGCAGUGGGGAAUUUUGGACAAUGGGGGCAACCCUGAUCCAGCCAUGCCGCGUGCGGGAAGAAGGCCUUCGGGUUGUAAACCGCUUUUGUCGGGGAAGAAAUCCUCUGGGCUAAUACCCCGGGGGGAUGACGGUACCCGGAGAAUAAGCACCGGCUAACUACGUGCCAGCAGCCGCGGUAAUACGUAGCGUGCAAGCGUUAAUCGGAAUGACUGGGCGUGAAGCGUGCACACGGGGGUGAAAGCCCCGGGCUCAACCUGGGAACUGCAUUUGUGACUGCAUAGCUGGAGUGCGGCAGAGGGGGAUGGAAUUCCGCGUGUAGCAGUGAAAUGCGUAGAUAUGCGGAGGAACACCGAUGGCGAAGGCAAUCCCCUGGGCCUGCACUGACGCUCAUGCACGAAAGCGUGGGGAGCAAGCAGGAUUAGAUACCCUUGUAGUC
rnacentral:rRNA from 1 species